rnacentral:rRNA from 1 species
CGUGUAGGCGGUUUUUUAAGUCUGAUGUGAAAGCCCCGGGCUUAACCUGGGAAGUGCAUUGGAAACUGGAAGACUUGAGUACGGGAGAGGAAAGCGGAAUUUCGAGUGUAGGGGUGAAAUCCGUAGAUAUUCGAAGGAACACCAGUGGCGAAGGCGGCUUUCUGGACCGAUACUGACGCUGAGACGCGAGAGCGUGGGGAGCAAACAGGAUUAGAUACCCUGGUAGUC